GAUGAACGCUAGCGACAGGCUUAACACAUGCAAGUCGAGGGACCGGCGCACGGGUGAGUAACGCGUAUGCAACCUGCCCGAUACCGGGGUAUAGCCCAUGGAAACGUGGAUUAACACCCCAUAGUAUCGGAUGGGCAUGCGUCCUAUUAGUUAGUUGGCGGGGUAACAGCCCACCAAGACGAUGAUAGGUAGGGGUUCUGAGAGGAAGGUCCCCCACAUUGGAACUGAGACACGGUCCAAACUCCUACGGGAGGCAGCAGUGAGGAAUAUUGGUCAAUGGACGUAAGUCUGAACCAGCCAAGUCGCGUGAGGGAAGACUGCCUAUGGGUUGUAAACCUCUUUUAUAAGGGAAGCUGUACCUUAUGAAUAAGCAUCGGCUAACUCCGUGCCAGCAGCCGCGGUAAUACGGAGGAUGCGAGCGUUAUCCGGAUUUAUUGGGUUUAAAGGGUGCGUAGGCGGUUUAUUAAGUUAGUGGUUAAAUAUUUGAGCUAAACUCAAUUGUGCCAUUAAUACUGGUAAACUGGAGUACAGACGAGGUAGGCGGAAUAAGUUAAGUAGCGGUGAAAUGCAUAGAUAUAACUUAGAACUCCGAUAGCGAAGGCAGCUUACCAGACUGUAACUGACGCUGAUGCACGAGAGCGUGGGUAGCGAACAGGAUUAGAUACCCUGGUAGUCCACGCCGUAAACGAUGCUCACUGGUUCUGUGCACGGGAUUAAGCGAAAGUAUUAAGUGAGCCACCUGGGGAGUACGUCGGCAACGAUGCAACUCAAAGGAAUUGA
rnacentral:rRNA from 1 species